UUCUCCUCAGUUUUGUUUCUUUCUAGCGUAUUUUUUAUUUUAUUUUUUUCGAUGAGGUGAAAGUUUCCUUUCAGAUUUGAUUUAGUGGGUUACCUAUUUUCAGUUUCAUCCUUUCAGAUUCUUAUUUUUAGAUGUAUUUGCUUUGGAUUUGAAGUUCGAAUUCGUUUCGUAUGAUGUUGGGUUUGGGUGGGUUGUUUCCUGUUCGUAUGUGAAGGUCAGCCUCUGUUUUAGUUUACGGGUUCUUAUUUUAAUUUUUGUUUUCCAUGAGCUGAUCUUACUUUGCUGCACAUUGCCUUCUCCGUAGCUCAUCUUUUAUGGAUAUUCAAGUUUAAAAUUUAAGAAGUUCCGAUAUUUGUUUUAGAAUUUAAUUGAGGCUUCCGGUUGGGCUACUAAACUAAAUUUUGCGUGUGAAUAGCAUUUUGAAGAUAGCAUGGAAGGUAUUAUUGUCAGGAGGUCAUUCCUGUUAGUGUAAAUCCCCAACUCCCAACUGUAAUGUUGAAUAGGUGCUAAAGUAUUGAGUGUUAAUGUAUAUCCCCAACCGUCAAGUGUAAUAUUGACUUUCUUAUGUAAGGCUCUUGUAUAAAUAAGUUGUUCUAAACAUAAUGAAAUAUAGAGAAAGAGAUUUACAAUUUCCAUCUUCUAUAAUUUCUAUCUAUCUAUUUAUACAAGAGUCUUACAUAAGAAAGUCAAUAUUACAGUUGAGAGUUUGGGGUAUACAUUGACACCGACUGAAUACUUUAGCACCUAUUCAACAUUACAGUUGGGAGUUGGGGAUUUACACUAACAAUUCCCUCAGACAACAGCUGCCUCUUCAAUGCCAUUGGAUAUGUUAUGGAUAAAGACAAACACAGAGCUCCUGAACUAAGACUGGUCAUAAAUUUUCCUGUAUAUAAUCCCUUUCAUCCUUCAGCAUUUCAUUCGUAUGGGUGAAAUAGCAAGUAGGCGAUGCGAAUCUAUGGUUUCUAUGCUUCAAUCGGAUACCAAUUGAUUGGAUGCGUUUGAAAGCCAGGAGAAGACUCUUGCAGAAAUUUUUUUUCUAGCUGGGAAAGGAAGAGGAGAUUUACAGACACUGCAAAUUCACUCUGCAAUGUGGGGUAUGCCAAAUAGGUUGUGUUGGGCAGAAGGUUGUCUCAUUUAUGCAAUCGCCUCUCUUUCUCUGUGUUGGUUCUUGAAUAUUUCUUAGUCUGAUGCAUCCUGCAAAUAUUUCAUAUGGAAAUAUGCAGCAGGCCAUGGAGCAUGACAGGAGACUGGCCAUGUCAACUUUCAAGAGUACAGAUAAAGAUGCAUCUAAGGAGAGAUCGAAAAUGAGAGAUCCCAUUGUUCUCUUGGUGAGCUCCUCAAGAUAGUCUACCUGAUUAUUAUUAUUUUUUUUUAAAUAAUAAUAAUUUGGGCUCUCAUUGGAUUGUUGGGAGGAAUUAGUUAAUGAAUUCUAAUUUAUUGGGGAUAACUGUUGUUUUAUCCAAUGUGUUACUGUUGUAGAAUACUUUAUGUGGUUCAUAGAUGUUGUAUUGAAUAAAAAAGGAGAUUUAGAAGUUUGGGA